AUUACCCUACACCUACGCUCAGGCCCCUGCCUAUGUAUAUCCCUAUUACAAUCCAACUGCUACCACAAUACAACAACCACCACCACAAAUGGCCAUGCCUCAUAUCUCACCCUACACAGCUGCACAACAAACAUCUGCAUCAGAACCAUCUCCAUUAGCACCUGCUGUAUCGACGACUAUACCACCACACAAUACAUCCUUGGCACCUGGCAUGACUGUAGCACA
rnacentral:ribozyme from 1 species